AGAACUGUGGCUCAAGGGCAGAGCAUCUGUUUAGCAUGCGGAAGGUCCCUGGUUCAAUCCCUGGCAUCUCUA
rnacentral:tRNA from 1 species